AAGCAAUUUGCUCAUAGCCAUAGCUUUCUUGUGAAAGUAGGAUAUUAACCCAGGUGUCUUGGUGCUGGAGAACAGAACUGGCCAGAGUCCAUCCUGUCUCCCACCGGCAUCCCAUUACGAAAUGAACACAGAAAAGGCAGGUCUGCAAUGCCAACAUCUAGUAUCUAUCCCAAAGACCAGGGAGAAAGGAAGGAAAGAUUCUGGUUCUGUCCUCUUCCCCAAGGCAAGGCUGGCUGCCCUACCAACAGAGGCAAAGAGAAGAGUGUGCAAGGCUGGCUGCCCUCCCAACAGAGGCAAAGAGGAGUGUGUGUUGAAAUAUCCAUUGAAUCCCUGAGACAACUGGAUCCUGGCCCAUUGAAUCAUAAACUCAGCAGAAUCUCACAUCAUAACCCCAAAUGACCUGUUACUCACCAUGUGGCCCAGCUGUCUUCAAACUCACCAGCCUCCUGCCUUAGCCUUCUAAAUGCUUGGAUUACAGGCAUGACCCACCAUAACUGGCUUUGUUUUAGUUUCAGAGAAGAUGAAACUGAUGUGCGUCAAAAAGUUAUGGAGGCUGGGAAGACCUAGAAUGUGGCAUCACUAUUUGGUAAGAACCUUCCUAUGUCAUUGUAGAGUGAGGGACUUGGGUACCACAUGGCAAGGCAUAGUACCCAAAUCCCUUUCCUUCAUAAAAGUAUUAAUGUCAUCAAAGAGGCCCCACCACCAUGAUGCCAUCUGGGGCCUCAUGACCCCAAUGCCUGAUGCCAAAGACUCCCACCUCAAAAUACUUUUUUCUUCAGCAUAACAUUUUAUUAAUUAUCUGGGAAUUUCACAUCAUGUACUCCAAUCACACUCAGUUCCCAGUCCUUCCAUGUCAGCCCCCACCCUUGUUACUUGCCCCCCAAAAGAGGAAAAUUAAAACUAAGAAUUAAAAAAAAUUAAAAAAAUUAAAAUACACAAGUCCAAUUUAUGUUACCUAUAUACUCACUGAAGCAUGGUCAGAUUCUCAGUGGCCUGGCCCUUAAAUAGAAGUGAGUCUUCCCCCUCCUGCAUCUGAAGCCAUUAAUUGCGUAGAGCUACACUUCAACAUCUACAUCACACUUUCAAAGAGUUCUCUUCAGUGGAUUCCUGUUCUAGACCAUUACUUUGGAGACAGGGGUAGGGGAUUGUCACAAAAAGCCUUCCAUGUCCCUUCGUCUCAGUUGUACACCUGCAGUCAUCAAUAUCCCAGUGUAACUAGUCCCCUUGUUCUUCAUAGUUAGUGGAAACAUGGAUCAUGGGCCUCUCAAGGUUUCUGAUAACAUCCCAGACCAUGAACAUGGCCCUCAGGUGCAGGAGGACCACAGAUCCAGACAAAGACCAGAUCACAGCCAUAAAAAUAGCCUCAGGUGGCAGCAAAGGCCACUCAGAUUAGUAUGGCCUUUGGUGGCAGCACUAUCCAUAAACAUCAACGUAGCUUCAGGCAGCAGCACAGACUGUGAACAUCUCAUGGUCUUCAGUGGUAACACAAGCCAUGGAUAUCUACCUACAGCAGAACCAUAUAUAGAUUUGAUAAGUUUCCACACAUGAACCCAGGACACAUUUAAAUCAUGGCAGUCUACAUCCUGAUCCUUCCCUUGUC
rnacentral:lncRNA from 1 species